rnacentral:rRNA from 1 species
ACUCCUACGGGAGGCAGCAGUGGGGAAUAUUGCACAAUGGGCGCAAGCCUGAUGCAGCCAUGCCGCGUGUGUGAAGAAGGCCUUCGGGUUGUAAAGCACUUUCAGUCGUGAGGAAGGUAGUGUAGUUAAUAGCUGCAUUAUUUGACGUUAGCGACAGAAGAAGCACCGGCUAACUCCGUGCCAGCAGCCGCGGUAAUACGGAGGGUGCAAGCGUUAAUCGGAAUUACUGGGCGUAAAGCGCAUGCAGGUGGUUUGUUAAGUCAGAUGUGAAAGCCCGGGGCUCAACCUCGGAAUUGCAUUUGAAACUGGCAGACUAGAGUACUGUAGAGGGGGGUAGAAUUUCAGGUGUAGCGGUGAAAUGCGUAGAGAUCUGAAGGAAUACCAGUGGCGAAGGCGGCCCCCUGGACAGAUACUGACACUCAGAUGCGAAAGCGUGGGGAGCAAACAGGAUUAGAUA